CCUACGGGAGGCAGCAGUGAGGAAUAUUGGUCAAUGGACGCAAGUCUGAACCAGCCAUGCCGCGUGCAGGAAGACGGCUCUAUGAGUUGUAAACUGCUUUUGUACGAGGGUAAACGCAGAUACGCGUAUCUGUCUGAAAGUAUCGUACGAAUAAGGAUCGGCUAACUCCGUGCCAGCAGCCGCGGUAAUACGGAGGAUUCAAGCGUUAUCCGGAUUUAUUGGGUUUAAAGGGUGCGUAGGCGGUCGGAUAAGUUAGAGGUGAAAUCCCGAGGCUCAACUUCGGAAUUGCCUCUGAUACUGGUCGUCUAGAGAGUAGUUGCGGUAGGCGGAAUGUGUGGUGUAGCGGUGAAAUGCUUAGAGAUCAUACAGAACCCCGAUGGAGAAGGCAGCUUACCAAGCUACUUCUGACGUUGAGGCACGAAAGCGUGGGGAGCAAACAGGAUUAGAUACCCUAGUAGUC
rnacentral:rRNA from 1 species